rnacentral:scRNA from 1 species
CAAAACCUACCGCGACGGCAAAUUCGGCGUCAGC